rnacentral:rRNA from 1 species
ACUCUCGGCAACGGAUAUCUCGGCUCUCGCAUCGAUGAAGAACGUAGCGAAAUGCGAUACUUGGUGUGAAUUGCAGAAUCCCGUGAACCAUCGAGUCUUUGAACGCAAGUUGCGCCCGAAGCCUUCGGGCCGAGGGCACGCCUGCCUGGGCGUCACGCAUCGCGUCGCCCCCCUCCUCC